AGGAGGAGACAAAGAGCAUCUCAACUCAGUAAGAGUCAGCCGCUCCGUAGACACGUCGGCCGGGAUACUCUGCCUGGAAACACCGCAAACUAAUCGGAACCGGCAGCCGACAGAGACGGACGAGUCUCGUUGGAUACGAGGUGGUCGAUUAGGUGUGACUUGUGACUGUGAUGAUGGGAGGAGAGCAGAGCCAUGAGAGGAGGGCUGAGGAGAGAGAAGAGGAGCCUGAAAAGCAUCAACAGUCUGUCCAGACUGACAGCUCAGGAUCUGCUGCUGCUGAAGACUCCCCGGGAGAGCUGCCCCAGUGCAACAUGGGAAACAAGAGGGUGGACAACAUGUGUUUCAUGAUCUCCUGCACCAACUGGUAUUAAACUGGUCCUGGUACAACAAGUUAAUGUUAUUAAGGCUGAAUUCAUGGAGUCACAGAGAAUCCAGAAUGAAGCUGUCACUGAAUUCCCACAUGCUCGCUGCAAAUCACUAUUCUACCUACUUCACAGGUUAAACAAAUGAGACACAAUGUGUUUGUCAGUGAGCUUUAGAGGUGCUGAUAGGUGGGUUUUGUCACUUGGGAUGCUAAGCCAGGCUAGCUGUUCCCCUUUUUCCAGUCUUUAUGCUAAGCUAACUGAUUGCUGGCAGUGGCUUCAUAUUUUCCGUGGACACGAGAGGCGUUUGAUUAUCUCUUCUAACUCUUUACAAGGAAGCAGAAAAUCGAGUUUGUUCAUGAAAAGAAACGGUGCAAGAGACGGGGUAAAGAUUCAUGGGCUGAAUAUAAGAUUCAGAAAUGGAUCAAACCAACUCGUGUGUAUUCUUAUUCAUGCCAUUAAUGGCUGUCAGCUGAAAUUACUAAAGAAUUGCACAAAUGAGAAUAAAUAAACCAAAUCAAUGAUUUUAACAGCAA